UCCCCUUUAGUUCAUCGCACAGCUUCUUCUUCUUCUUUCUUUUUUCGGUUUGCAGCAACUCUUCCUCCGCUUGCUUCUUCUCUAAAAUUCUGCAGUGUUUUCCUUGUUUUUACAGCAAGAUCCCCUGUGUCUCUGCCUCUCAAUCUGCAGCAAAACAGCAACCCAAGACUCUCAAAUCAGUCACGGCCAGCAACUUCUGCAGAAACUCUUCCUUUGAGUUUCACAGCAGCUCUUAAAACCCGAAAAAAAAAAAAAAAAAAAAAACCCAUCUUCUCCUUCCUUUUACAGUUGCAGAAAAUUUCCUUAAAAGCCCUCUGUUCUCUUGUCCAGAACAGCAAAGGAAUAGGAUCCUCUCACCGUCGGUAGAAGGUAGCUAAAAUACUGCUCAGAAAAUACCAGAUGACACUGUAGACCGGAGUCUUUUCGUUAUGGAUGGCAUAGACCCCACCCCUAAGAGCAAUAAAUCAAUAAAGACCGAUCUAACUUUUGUAUUGUACAUAUUUAUUUUGAAUUCCUAGAAAUAUGAUGUAAUAAUAACAAAAAAACUACUAUUUAUGUAUAUAUUCAUAUAAUGAAAUAUAGCCAUGCGCUAUUCCUGGGAAA